rnacentral:lncRNA from 1 species
UCUUGUACAAUUUAAUUACACGCUUAUCGAUUGAUUUCAGCUAAUGUGUAUAUUUUUGCAGGUGUUCGAUUAACGGAUGUGUACUUUAAUGCAAGUGCAGAAAUGUCAAUUAUGUGUACUCUUCAUGUUUCUCUCUCUCUCAGUGGCGAUUUUCUCUUCAGAGCACGAUUUUUGUAUAGAAUAGAAAGAAGCACGUUAAAUUAUAUAUUCGUUUUCUUCUAGCAUAUUCUAGAAGAAGUUUUGCACAUAGUCUUCAUCACAGAAUUUUGUCUCAAAUUUUCGAGUUUUUUUUUUUUUUUUUUUUUUAAGGCUGUUUCCAUGGCAACGGCGGCCAUUUUGAAAAUUUCGAAGACAGAUGACAAUACAAUAGCAUUUAAACGGGAAUGAGCUUAAAAUUUGUACGAAAAUGUUACUUUGACGUUUUUUACCAUAUGGGUCCAAUGUGCACUUUUCAGCGUUAUCUCCAUGGUAACAGCAGCUAUCUUAAAAAUUCCAACGGCAAUGAAUUCUACAGUUUAUACUGCUGUUUUCUACUUACGGUUUUUUUUGCCGUAUCUGUAGCGGUUUAUUUUCUAUGAAUUAAUUAAGGAUUUAUUUUCGUUUUUUUCACGUUUGGACCGUUUCCAUGACAACGGUAGCCAUUUUAAAAGUUCUUAAGAUGGAUGUCACGCCUUCUAACGAUGAGUUAUUAGUUCUGAAAGUUUCAUUAAAUUUGGACCAUUUUUCGGUUUUUUUACAUUUUUGCCGUUUCCAUGGAAACGGCGGCCAUCUUGAACCAUUCCAUGCUUACUGCAACUUUGCACAUGGGGAUUGUCAUUAUGGUGCAGUUUUAUAAAUAUAUGUCAAGGCAUCUCCGAGAAAUCGGCUGGACAAAAAGUGUGGAAGAAAAAAUUCGUAGAAUAACAAUAUAUCCCCCCUUUUUCAAAGGGGUGACAUAAUAAUACGCGAAAGUCGAUUGUUCAACAGAGAAUUAAAGGUAUUUUCUUUCAUAAACUCAACGUAAAAGAUAUGUGGAUUGGUUGAUUGAUGGUUUGUGAUCAUGAUUGAUCAAUCAUUGAUUGAUUAAUCGUUUGAUUGAUUGAUUAAUCGACUGAUAGGCAGUUUGUAAAAUGGUAAGGGGACGUUUUUUUUCGAUAUCUGCACUUGAUUCAUUACUUGUUUGAUAUCAAAACUUGAUUGAUUGAUCAUCUUAUCAUGAUUUGAUCACUUGAAUCAUGAUUUUAUUGAUUGAUCAAUACUUUGUAUAGCAUAAAGUGACACAUUUUGCAUUGGUUUAUUCCUUGUCUAUACGUUUUGUGCUGUUCAGUGACAAAUAUCUGUGAACAAUUUUACACGUAAAAUUGAGAAAAAUACUCUAUUUCCUGUUUUCUCAUCAGAAAAAAUGAAUUGCGAAUGAGUUAUUCUAACACUAGAUUUGCCAUUGCAAGCAAUAGCGGAGGAUGUCACCCCGUUCUUGACAUUGUCACAGUAGCAGCAACCAGUUUGAGUGUAUCAAAGUCACAUGGCACGUCUAGUAUACAUGCCUUUGACCCCCCCCCCCUUUUUUUCUCUUCUCGUAGACUAAGAGUGAUGUCUAUUUAUAGUUGGGGAACUCUUUAAAAUCUUAAAUUAGACACACGCUUGAGGAAGAAAGGUGCUGUCACGUGAUACUGAAGUAUAUUAUCGUGGAGUUAGUACAUUACUAUUCUUUUUAGAGGGGACCUUGGACAGACAACAUGUGUAUAUAUUGACGGAGCGGCAUACUAACUGUUCAUUUUAUUCUUCAAUAUCUCGCGUAUCACACGAUACAAGUAUUUUAUCUUGUACAAUUUAAUUACACGCUUAUCGAUUGAUUUCAGCUAAUGUGUAUAUUUUUUGCAGGUGUUCGAUUAACGGAUGUGUACUUUAAUGCAAGUGCAGAAAUGUCAAUUAUGUGUACUCUUCAUGUUUCUCUCUCUCUCAGUGGCGAUUUUCUCUUCAGAGCACGAUUUUUGUAUAUAGAAUAGAAAGAAGCACGUUAAAUUAUAUAUUCGUUUUCUUCUAGCAUAUUCUAGAAGAAGUUUUGCACAUAGUCUUCAUCACAGAAUUUUGUCUCAAAUUUUCGAUUUUUUUUUUUUUUUUUUUUUUUAAGGCUGUUUCCAUGGCAACGGCGGCCAUUUUGAAAAUUUCGAAGACAGAUGACAAUACAAUAGCAUUUAAACGGGAAUGAGCUUAAAAUUUGUACGAAAAUGUUACUUUGACGUUUUUUACCAUAUGGGUCCAAUGUGCACUUUUAGCGUUAUCUCCAUGGUAACAGCAGCUAUCUUAAAAAUUCCAACGGCAAUGAAUUCUACAGUUUAUACUGCUGUUUUCUACUUACGGUUUUUUUUUGCCGUAUCUGUAGCGGUUUAUUUUCUAUGAAUUAAUUAAGGAUUUAUUUUCGUUUUUUUCACGUUUGGACCGUUUCCAUGACAACGGUAGCCAUUUUAAAAGUUCUUAAGAUGGAUGUCACGCCUUCUAACGAUGAGUUAUUAGUUCUAAAAGUUUCAUUAAAUUUGGACCAUUUUUCGGUUUUUUACAUUUUUGCCGUUUCCAUGGAAACGGCGGCCAUCUUGAACCAUUCCAUGCUUACUGCAACUUUGCACAUGGAGAUUGUCAUUAUGGUGCAGUUUUAUAAAUAUAUGUCAAGGCAUCUCCGAGAAAUCGGCUGGACAAAAAGUGUGGAAGAAAAAAUUCGUAGAAUAACAAUAUAUCCCCCCUUUUUCAAAGGGGUGACAUAAUAAUACGCGAAAGUCGAUUGUUCAACAGAGAAUUAAAGGUAUUUUCUUUCAUAAACUCAACGUAAAAGAUAUGUGGAUUGGUUGAUUGAUGGUUUGUGAUCAUGAUUGAUCAAUCAUUGAUUGAUUAAUCGUUUGAUUGAUUGAUUAAUCGACUGAUAGGCAGUUUGUAAAAUGGUAAGGGGACGUUUUUUUCGAUAUCUGCACUUGAUUCAUUACUUGUUUGAUAUCAAAACUUGAUUGAUUGAUCAUUUAUCAUGAUUUGAUCACUUGAAUCAUGAUUUUAUUGAUUGAUCAAUACUUUGUAUAGCAUAAAGUGACACAUUUUGCAUUGGUUUAUUCCUUGUCUAUACGUUUUGUGCUGUUCAGUGACAAAUAUCUGUGAACAAUUUUACACGUAAAAUUGAGAAAAAUACUCUAUUUCCUGUUUUCUCAUCAGAAAAAAUGAAUUGCGAAUGAGUUAUUCUAACACUAGAUUUGCCAUUGCAAGCAAUAGCGGAGGAUGUCACCCCGUUCUUGACAUUGUCACAGUAGCAGCAACCAGUUUGAGUGUAUCAAAGUCACAUGGCACGUCUAGUAUACAUGCCUUUGACCCCCCCCCCUUUUUUUCUCUUCUCGUAGACUAAGAGUGAUGUCUAUUUAUAGUUGGGGAACUCUUUAAAAUCUUAAAUUAGACACACGCUUGAGGAAGAAAGGUGCUGUCACGUGAUACUGAAGUAUAUUAUCGUGGAGUUAGUACAUUACUAUUCUUUUUAGAGGGGACCUUGGACAGACAACAUGUGUAUAUAUUGACGGAGCGGCAUACUAACUGUUCAUUUUAUUCUUCAAUAUCACGCGUAUCACACGAUACAAGUAUUUUAUCUUGUACAAUUUAAUUACACGCUUAUCGAUUGAUUUCAGCUAAUGUGUAUAUUUUUGCAGGUGUUCGAUUAACGGAUGUGUACUUUAAUGCAAGUGCAGAAAUGUCAAUUAUGUGUACUCUUCAUGUUUCUCUCUCUCUCAGUGGCGAUUUUCUCUUCAGAGCACGAUUUUUGUAUAGAAUAGAAAGAAGCACGUUAAAUUAUAUAUUCGUUUUCUUCUAGCAUAUUCUAGAAGAAGUUUUGCACAUAGUCUUCAUCACAGAAUUUUGUCUCAAAUUUUCGAGUUUUUUUUUUUUUUUUUUUUUUUAAGGCUGUUUCCAUGGCAACGGCGGCCAUUUUGAAAAUUUCGAAGACAGAUGACAAUACAAUAGCAUUUAAACGGGAAUGAGCUUAAAAUUUGUACGAAAAUGUUACUUUGACGUUUUUUUACCAUAUGGGUCCAAUGUGCACUUUCAGCGUUAUCUCCAUGGUAACAGCAGCUAUCUUAAAAAUUCCAACGGCAAUGAAUUCUACAGUUUAU